rnacentral:ncRNA from 1 species
UCCUGUCCUCAGGGCGGGGUGGAAGUCCCCACCGGCGGUGUCGCGGCCAAGCCGCGCGAGCCCGCGAACGGUCCCCAUGGCGGGGACCGCCGAUCCGGUGCGAACCCGGAGCCGACGGUCAGAGUCCGGAUGAGAGAGGACAGAA